CUCCUUCUUCGCCGUCUUAGUUUCAACAAAUCCCUACAUAAGCAACGACGAUCUCAUUGCUCUACUCUCCUGUAACGUUUUCUUCCUCAUUCAAUCCUAAUCAUAAGGUAUUGCCAUUAACUCUCCGUCAGGCUUUCCCACUACGUCGAUCUUAAAUAUCAUCUCCCAUCGCAAAAUCCCAAAAGUGUUAUACUAUAAAUAUAGAUGAAGACUUUUCCAAAUCAGAGUGCUUAACCAUCUUCUAUGAAUGUAAAAAGCAGAGUUUGGAAUGUUUGCUCAAAGAAAUUUGUAGGCUUUUCACAAUCGUAAAAUACACCAGUCGAGUUUACAUGGGUGGUCAAGGCGAAAAAUCAAGUUGUAGAAGGAAUGAUGCAUCAUCUGACCCAGGAGUGAAGCCAUGGUUGACCUUCAAAGAGUUGCAGGAAUUCAAGCCCCUACCAUUAAUCUUUCCGUUCUUGGCUGGAAAAAAGGAUGGCCAUGAAUCUGGAUAGAGGGAAGUUCCAGGAGAUGAUCAAGAAGUGCAAUAUGUUUCUUUUGAUCAUGUCAAGACCAUCUAACAAAGAUCUAACUCAUUGUGCCCUUAUGAACUUCACGAGAUUGUGCAUAGUACUUUAGUACAUUUGUAGCGCAAAGUUCUUAUCAAGAAUAAUAGAAGUUUGUUUUGAUCAAAAAAGAAAAGAAAAGAAAGAAUAAUAGAAGUUUGUACGUCACUGAACACCUCUAAAACUCAA